GUGUGUUGUAAAGAUCGCGAAUGAAAACAAAUGAAAAAGAAAAGCUUACAGCAGCAUGAUCGUGACUGUCAUGUUAGCCUGAUGGGACCAAACUUCCUCUGUACAUCUGGAAAAAGGGGGGUCGUCUUAUAAUCAGGGUCGUCUUAUAUUCGGGACAAUACGGCCACCUGGUGCCACCACAUGGCAAGAGCAGACGGGCUGUCACCGCAGAACAGACACUCUGAGACAUGGGCCUGUAAUUGGACAUGAGACGGAUGGUGACAGCCACUUUCCAACUUCCUCCCUCCAUCUUUCUCUGUUCGCUGUGGGCACUUCCUACCGGGUUACCAGGACCUGAACUACUGACACCAGGUGCGGGAUGUCAACCGGGAGCGUUAGCCUGUCUCAAAUCUCCAGUGACAUCAUAAAACACAGCGGCACGAUGAGAUGGCUCAUGCAGAGGAAGUCAAUGUGCUGAUCAAAAAACACAGAUGCAUGUG